UUUAAUUGAAGAGUUUGAUCAUGGCUCAGAUUGAACGCUGGCGGCAGGCCUAACACAUGCAAGUCGAGCGGUAACACAAGGGAGCUUGCUUCUGAGGUGACGAGCGGCGGACGGGUGAGUAAUGCCUAGGGAUCUGCCCAGUCGAGGGGGAUAACAGUUGGAAACGACUGCUAAUACCGCAUACGCCCUACGGGGGAAAGGAGGGGA
rnacentral:rRNA from 1 species